UACAGAGAAGUUAACAUCCUAUCCUUAUAAGUGUAUCGGCCAGAGUAGUUGACCUAAUAUACUUGGUGUGUGUGUGUGUGUGUGUGUGUGUGUGUGUGUGUGUGUGUGUGUGUGUGUGUGUGUGUGUGUGUGUGUGUGUGUGUGUGCGUGUGCGUGUGCGUGUGCGUGACCGUGAGUGAGUGUGAGUGUGAGUGUGAUGAAUAUACUGUAGGCACAGCGUUAUCUUCACCAAAGACUCUGACAUGUCGCUCAGUUGGGCUUCUCUACUUAGCUGCAGCUUUCAACCUGAAAGACCACAAACAAACUAACUGUUGGCUGUUUGGAGAAUUUUGUUUUAGUUGUUUUUUUCAUCAUGUGUCUAAUGGCAAAGCGUUCGAUUGACUUCUGCUCCUCAUUAAAUGAUUCUGCUUUCGUAAGCAGGGGGUUGUUUGAAGCUGUUGAGAUACCACGUUAAAAAGCCCGCCAAGGAAUGUGGACAAAAAUUUGGGGGGGUGGGGGGGGGAGAGAGAGAAGCUUGACGAUGUGUACUUAUCCCUAUCCACCGUUGUUUUUUAUUUUAAUUCUGGCCAUUGAAUUCUGUUCUUGUGUUAUUUAUGUUUAGACAUUAACUUUGUAUAUUUCUUUCUCAUUUCUUUUUUUUUCCUGUCUUUUUAAAAUGUGGAUCUAGAUGUUUUUUCAAUACUGGCUUAUGUUGCUACUGGUACCGGAACUAUAGGUACUUUUUUCUUUCUUCCAAAGCAGGUGAUGAAUGUGUGGAACCAGGUUAGACGCACUCACAGAUCCCUUCCCUUGUCAGUAUGGACACGGCGGCUCUGCUCCUCGUUUCUCCGUCUGGGUCUUUCAGUUGGACUCCUGGAGCACACGUUCUGCCAUGUCACGGGUUUGAUCAUGGACCAAAGAUGGAUGUCGGGACACUUUUUUUUAUAGAAAAUGACCCCCCCCCCCCCCAUAACUGCUCCUCCUACUUUAUUUCAUGUCAUGCCCCUUUACUUUAUACUCCAAUAUAUUUUUGACAAAAAUGUAGGGAGAUCCACCUGUAUUUGUACAACUUUUGUAAGACUAAUCUGAGAUCUGAAAUUGAUUGGUAUUUUUUUUUGGGGGGGGGGGGGGGGGGGGGGGCAGGGAAAUUGUAUUUUAGCAGUAUUAUCUGAUCUACGGCCCUAACAAUCGAACCAGCCACCCUCCCUCCAGCAGACGUGUUCACUCACAGUGGCUGACUGUCAUUGCAAAGCCAGCUAGCGCUAGUUUCUCCUGCCAUCCUGCAGGCCUUUAGCUUUCUACUGCAGCUGCAGGCAGCUCUGAGCUACACACAAACACAAACACACGUGACUAAGGACAAGAAAAAUCAGAGGUUGCUGCUUUAUCUUCAAGCUUGUUUGUAUGCAUGGUACUUUUUUUUUGUAUUUUACGUUAUGUAACGUGUGUAUUGUUAAUUGCACUAUUGUUUUAGCUAACUUGGAAGUGCAAUAAAAACUAUAAAUACUGUAUGUAAUUAAUAAAUGAGCACCAUUUUACCAUA